rnacentral:rRNA from 1 species
AUUGACCUCGGAUCAGGUAGGGAUACCCGCUGAACUUAAGCAUAUCAAUAAGCGGAGGAAAAGAAACCAACAGGGAUUGCCCUAGUAACGGCGAGUGAAGCGGCAACAGCUCAAAUUUGAAAUCUGGCUCCUUUGGGGUCCGAGUUGUAAUUUGUAGAGGGUGCUUUGGCGUUGGUUGUGGUCUAAGUUCCUUGGAACAGGACGUCACAGAGGGUGAGAAUCCCGUACGUGGCCGCCAGCCUCCGCCGUGUAAAGCCCCUUCGAUGAGUCGAGUUGUUUGGGAAUGCAGCUCUAAAUGGGAGGUAAAUUUCUUCUAAAGCUAAAUAUUUGCCAGAGACCGAUAGCGCACAAGUAGAGUGAUCGAAAGAUGAAAAGCACUUUGGAAAGAGAGUCAAAAAGCACGUGAAAUUGUUGAAAGGGAAGCGCUUGCAGCUAGACGUGCCUUGGGUUGAUCAGCCGGACUUUUGCCCGGUGCACUCUUCCUUUGGCAGGCCAGCAUCAGUUUGGGCGGCUGGAUAAAGGUCUGUUAAACGUGACUUCCUUCGGGGAGAGCUUAUAGGGCAGACGACAUGCAGCCAGCCUGAACUGAGGUCCGCGCAUCUGCUAGGAUGCUGGCGUAAUAGCUGUAAGCGGCCCGUCUUGAAACACGGACCAAGGAGUCUAACAUCUAUGCGAGUGUUUGGGUGUCAAGCCCGAGCGCGUAAUGAAAGUAAACGGAGGUGGGAACCUUUUAGGUGCACCAUCGACCGAUCCUGAUGUCUUCGGAUGGAUUUGAGUAAGAGCAUAGCUGUUGGGACCCGAAAGAUGGUGAACUAUGCCUGAAUAGGGUGAAGCCAGAGGAAACUCUGGUGGAGGCUCGCAGCGGUUCUGACGUGCAAAUCGAUCGUCAAAUUUGGGCAUAGGGGCGAAAGACUAAUCGAAC